GACGAACGCUGGUGGCGUGCCUAACACAUGCAAGUCGAGCGAAGUGAGUACUACGGUACGAACUUAGCGGCGGACGGGUGAGUAACGCGUGGACAAUCUACCCUGUAGACUGGGAUAACACCUCGAAAGGGGUGCUAAUACCGGAUAAUGUCGAGAAGCGGCAUCGCUUUUCGAAGAAAGGAGAGAAUCCGCUAUAGGAGGAAUCCGCGUCCCAUUAGCUAGUUGGUGAGGGUAACGGCCCACCAAGGCGACGAUGGGUUGCCGGCCUGAGAGGGUGAACGGCCACACUGGAACUGAGACACGGUCCAGACUCCUACGGGAGGCAGCAGUGGGGAAUAUUGUGCAAUGGGGGAAACCCUGACACAGCAACGCCGCGUGAGCGAAGAAGGCCUUCGGGUUGUAAAGCUCAAUAGUAUGGGAAGAUAAUGACGGUACCAUACGAAGGCCCCGGCUAACUACGUGCCAGCCGCCGCGGUAACAC
rnacentral:rRNA from 1 species